rnacentral:rRNA from 1 species
UACGUAGGUGGCGAGCGUUGUCCGGAUUUACUGGGCGUAAAGGGAGCGUAGGCGGGCUUUUAAGUGAGAUGUGAAAUACUCGGGCUCAACUUGAGUGCUGCAUUUCAAACUGGAAGUCUAGAGUGCAGGAGAGGAGAAUGGAAUUCCUAGUGUAGCGGUGAAAUGCGUAGAGAUUAGGAAGAACACCAGUGGCGAAGGCGAUUCUCUGGACUGUAACUGACGCUGAGGCUCGAAAGCGUGGGUAGCGAACAGG